UGAACAGACAUCUCCAAAGAGACAAGUUCAGUAUGGAGAAGGCCAGGCAUAAAGGAUAACUUCCCCUCUGUCAUUAUGUUUCUAUACUUGAUGCAGUAGGGCUGGUGAAAUGUAUCUUUCCCAGCACUGCCUUACAAAGAACUAGUCCUUAUGAGAAACUCCCUGGGAUCCCCCUGAGGAGCAUCAGGUGUGUCUGCAAUAGCUCCAUCAGCAAUGAGAAUGUUUGGAUCCCUCCAAGCAAGGAGUGCUGGUAUGGUCCAUCUCCUAGGAGAGAUGAAUGGCGUGGUUGUGAAAUUGCCUGGCCAGCUAACCCAGACAUAAUGGAAGACAAAACAACUGAAUUUUUUUUUGGUCCCUGAACUAAUUGCUUAUUGAAAUGCACACAAACACGUCUUCUUUCCUCUUCUUCAGGCCUCUCCCAGUUAUUCUGGGUACUGCAAUGAUAAAAGAAAGUAAGGUCACAUCAUCAAAUCUCUGCCAAUUGAAACACAUCUAAUGGCGAGACGGCAUGUCUGAAGCAAAUGGAUAAAAAUCUCAUUUCUAAGCUAUUGGAUCCAAAAUUAUGCAGAUUACAAUCAAAUCCCUUUUGGUUGUUGUUGUUGGGUUUUUGUGGGGUUUCUUAAAGGCAUACAUCCAGUGAUUUUUUUUAAUCCCUAAAGUUGGGGGAUUUAAAUCCUAGGUAAGGAAGGAACCUCACAAAAUUCAUUUUGAAGCUACAAUUAAGAACCAAAUGGUCUACUGUUAUUUUUUUAAAAUGGCAGUUCAGAUCAAAGAAAGCCAUAGAGAGGAAAAGAAAAAGGUUUUCCCUGGCAGGUAAUUGAUGGGAUUUUUGAGCAAGAGGGUGAGAGGUGUGAACAGGAAUAUGGGUGAGGAAGGCCUGGAAGGCUGAAAGGAGUAAGACCUUUGGAGAGAAGAGGAAAUUCCUUUGAUGAAAGGUCCCUGAUAUCCCCGGUGAUUCAAAUCUUCCACAUAACAAUCUCAUUCAUUGUACCUACUUCAGGUCUCAGCUCUGUGCCCAUUAAUUUGACUCCCAAAGGAAAGAGCACAAUUUGGGAGGGGAAAGGACUUUUUUUUUAACACCCCUGCUUUUCCAUUUGAUUGCCAUACUUUCCUUACACAAAAGUCAGAGAUCUGAGGAAGACAGAGUUGACCUUGACAGUCUCUUGAGGUAUUCACAGAUAGCUAAGCCCUGCUGAACUGGUGUUCAGGAAGAGAAGGCAGGGGUGU